AGUGAAACACUUUUCCUAUGAAAUUACGUUGUUCCCAGCUAAUGCAGGUGAACAUUCAGGCUUUGAUGUCAUUUUGCUGUUUUCCUAUCUGAUACACCAGACUGGAGAUACCGUUGAACUUUUGAACCUACAGGCUGUUUCCAGACUCUUUGAAUUGCAGGGAUAUCUGGGGGGAAAAGUGCCCUUUCUAGUAUGCGCUUGGCUUGUUAGGAAGUUGUGUAACUGGAGGGAAAAAUGGUAAGUGCCACUUUCUGCAGACACGUGUGAAGCACUGGAGGUGGCAUGUGGGAAAGGCUGAAGGUUUGUGUCUGGUGUGUUCUAAGUGGUAACUGGUUUAAAAUGUAUUUGAAGUGUUAGUGGGUUCUUGUGUGUUUGUGAUGGUUAGAUUCAUAAAGUCUGAGUUACAAGUGACAAUACAAGCAUUGCAGUAUUAUGGCCAGUUUUCGUUUAUUCAGAUUGUAUCUUGGUCUUGCAGGAAAGGUCACCAUACAAGAACAUAGAUUAUUUGUGUUCGCUUUUCAUGGGUCAGAUUUCUCUUCAGGCUGAGUGAAAGUGAAGAUACAAAAUGUCCAGUAUUUGUGAAAGGAAAUCACAGAGCCUAUUAGCAUAUUCCCAAGAGUCAGCAAGGACAGUCCAUGUAAGCCUCCUGAAAGUGAAGUGACUGUGCUAGGACAGAGGAGGACAGUCAGGGAGCAGAUGCUUCUUGCAGUGUGUGUUUCCCUUAGCAACCUGGCAAAUUUGCGUGCGAGUUAGUCAUGUUUUCACAUCAUUUACCCACUUCUGUACUUUCAAGAUAAAAGAAAGAUGGAAUAGCAGAGACAAAUGAGGAGGAGCAGAGGUUAGAUGAUGGAGGUUGGCAGUACAACCCCUGGCUAAGCUGUAUGAAUAGCGAUGGUGAGAGGCCAUCUCACCAUCUGAGUAAGUGGUUGAAGAAUACUUAUAGUUUGCACCUGUGCCAGCAGGGACACAAGUCCUCUCUAGAGACCCUGAUCUCUCAGAUCUUAUUUAGUAGUAUUGAAUUCUAAGCAGAAGAGCAUUUUAAUUAUAUACUUUUCUUACCAAUUCUUUCUAGUACAUGCUUGUGACAUGUUUAUCUACCUACAGUCAUGUACAGUAAUGCGUGAUGAUCGAUGUUUGUCAACAGUUGCGGUAGGUAAGAGAUGUGGAUAUGUGAACGCAGCAGUUUGUGCUUUGUGCGUGCACAAGGCCCUCCAUAUUCUUUCUGUUUCUAAAAGCAAAAUAGUCUGGUUUAGCUGUAACUUGCAUAACUUCACACACUUUUUUACUCUCCCUCUUGGACGGUCUCUAUUUCUGUUCUCAUUGCCUUCUUUGGGGGUAUUUUUCUUCAUGUUUUGGGGUUUGCACUCCUUUUCUUUACUAUUUUUUUCUAUUUCUUCUCUAUGAUCCCGUCACUCUCUCAUUUUGAUUUUCCUUUCUUCCUUUUCACUGUCAAUUACCUGACUCUAGACCCACUUGUUGACUUUGUCUCACAUCCUUAAUUGAUUGGAACCAUAGGACAGUGAGUGAAGAAGGAUGGAUGCCAAUUUCCAGUGCCAAGUACCAGAGGAAUAUGAAACUUCCCUUUCUCUUCCUUUCCUGCAGCAUUCUGUCUGGGUUUCCUUAUGUUAUCUUCCUGCCUUAUUCCGUUGUGAUCCUGUACUCUGAUGCUGAAGCUGAGAAGUGCUGCUAGAGAGCAGCAAUGUCUACUGUCUGCCAUCCAAAGCAUCCUCUUUUGAAAAGAGGACACUAAGGAGAUGCAAGAUCUCCCAGAGGAGAAAGAAAGAGUGGUACAUAUAUUUGGAUCCUUCAUCCUAGACCCAAUGUUAUGAACACAAUCCUAAUAAAUGACUGAUCCACAAGAGUAUAACAGCUUCUUCAUGCCUGAUCUAUCAAAAAAACCCAUAUUUCUCAUUCACAGGUCAGGUAUAUCUUUUGCUUUACAGAGCACAUGUGCCAUCUGGUUCUAGAAGACUAAGCCAGCGGUUUCAGUUUCAGCCAUAUUUCAUGUGCAAGGCAGAGUCUUUCGGUAUGCAGUUAAUAGAAGAGACUACCACUCUGUGAAUUAUUUACAUGAUGUCCAGCUUUUGUAAGUAGGGCAGACAGUUUUUUGUUUUUUUUGAUGAAUGAUGUGCUGGUGUGAGAAUGGGCAGAGCAAAACAAACUCUCUCUGAGGUGGAGUUGUGGUUACCAACUUAUCAUGUAUAUCAUCAUGGCUAUGAAAAAGUAAUCUUUAUUCAAUGUGAAUUUGUGGACAUAGCAUUUUCUGCAAGGAACGAAGCUUGCCAAAUGUGAACAAGUACUGCUUACUGUGAUGUAUUUAGUUUGUCAAAACCCUAAGCCUUUAUCUGAUGUUUGAGUACUGGAAACUGUUCUUCAUAAUUAUGGGUAGGCUAUAAAUGAAAAAUCAGGCAUCUCACAGCUACAGCCCUCUAUCUCCCUCCAGCCUCAUUCUUUGUCAACCUCAUGUUUUGUUAUUCCUGAAAGGUAGAUGUUUAUGGUUGCAGCAAAAACAACUCAUUAAAUUCACCACUGCUA